GGCGCAGGGAAGGGGCAGUGCGGUGGGCACACUGAACCCUGGAGCCCGGAACCUCCCCACUGCACGGUCCGAAGGGCGGCGCUCGUUCUGCUUCGACCCCGGGGCCCUUCACGGCGUUUGGAUGCGACUCUCCCAACCUCAACCUCAUCGUCCUUGCCUGUGUCAAGGGGACACAGUGGCGAGUGCACACGUGGAACGCCGCGACUCUCCCAAGGCCUACUAUGGUCUUGGACUCAGCUAGCUGUGAAAGUUCGAGAACGGCCGCCCACUUGGAGGGGCCUCCAAGGCCCCGGAUCUCCUUAGGCGAACGCGCCGAAGGACUGAGGUCUCAGUGCACCCAGGCAGAGGCAGGGACUUGAGUUUGAACGACGCAGAAACGUUUUCAAACAGAAGGGGCCUGUGGAUGGGGCCUGUGGAUGGAAGGGUGCCGCCAAGGCCGAUGUGUUCCUGGGAGCCGCCCGCAGGCCAGAUCAGGGGCGCCGGCAUCUGGCUGCAGCUCUGGGCCUUGGGACAGGGUGAGCUAGGUGCAGGACAAGGAGCCAGCAGAGAACAUGCAUCAACAAGCCAGCGAGAGGAGGACGGGUCGGAACGUGGGCGAGCCUGCUUUCACACGGAUGUCAUGCCGGGGAGCUCUGACCCUCGAGGACUUCAGGAGCUUCAUAGACACACAUGGGGGACUCCAUAGUUGAGCUUCAGAGCCACUGGAGGGAGGGCCCAGAGAUAGCCCCUGUAGGGAUCCUGGGGGAACCCCUUGGGCAGCCUUCUAGGUACCUUGUAGGCAGAGAGCAUGGGUUGUGGCCGGCUGGUAUUGUAUCUGGACUUAUUAGGUUUGGGGACAAAAUGUGUGAGGGAAUGGAAGGCUAAGAUGAGGUCGCAUGCUACCCUGGGUAGGUCAGGAUCUGUCCUGUGUGGCCAAGUGUGGCCCCUGGGCCUGCUGGUCUGCACUGCCCAGCUUGGGGGGCAGACACCUGAGCCAGACAUCCUGCUAUCCGAGAGCCCUGUGCACAGGCUGUCGAUGAUCUGAAGCCUUAGACAAGCUGGGUUCUUAGCUGGGAAGAGACCAGAAGGAGUCCUGGAGCCCAGAUCCUGGGGCUGUGUUGUUUGAUUGUUUGCUUAUGUUUUACAAGGGUGAAAUUACAGCAGGAGUGUAUCACCUCUUCA